GACGAACGCUGGCGGCGUGCUUAACACAUGCAAGUCGAACGGAAAGGCCCUGCCUUUGUGGGGUGCUCGAGUGGCGAACGGGUGAGUAACACGUGAGUAACCUGCCCUUGACUUUGGGAUAACUUCAGGAAACUGGGGCUAAUACCGGAUAGGAGCUCCUGCUGCAUGGUGGGGGAUGGAAAGUUUCGGCGGUUGGGGAUGGACUCGCGGCUUAUCAGCUUGGUGGUGGGGUAGUGGCUUACCAAGGCAUUGACGGGUAGCCGGCCUGAGAGGGUGACCGGCCACAUUGGGACUGAGAUACGGCCCAGACUCCUACGGUAGGCAGCAGUGGGGAAUGUUGCACAAUGGGCGGAAGCCUGAUGCAGCAACGCCGCGUGCGGUAUGACGGCCUUCGGGUUGUAAUCCGCUUUCGCCUGUGACGAAGCGUGAGUGACGGUAAUGGGUAAAGAAGCACCGGCUAACUACGUG
rnacentral:rRNA from 1 species